UGGGGGAUAUUGCACAAUGGGCGAAAGCCUGAUGCAGCGACGCCGCGUGGGGGAUGAAGGCCUUCGGGUUGUAAACUUCUUUUGCUCUGAACAAGGCGCACCAUGGGGUGUGUUGAGUGUAGGGGUUGAUUAGCGCCGGCUAACUACGUGCCAGCAGCCGCGGUAAUACGUAGGGCGCGAGCGUUGUCCGGAAUUAUUGGGCGUAAAGGGCUUGUAGGUGGCUGGUUGCGUCUGUCGUGAAAGCUCAUGGCUUAACUGUGGGUUUGCGGUGGGUACGGGCUGGCUUGAGUGCAGUAGGGGAGGGUGGAAUUCCUGGUGUAGCGGUGGAAUGCGCAGAUAUCAGGAGGAAUACGGGUGGCGAAGGCGGGUCUCUGGGCUGUGACUGACACUGAGGAGCGAAAGCAUGGGGAGAGAACAGG
rnacentral:rRNA from 1 species